CCAGACUCCUACGGGAGGCAGCAGUGGGGAAUAUUGGACAAUGGGGGGAACCCUGAUCCAGCGACGCCGCGUGAGUGAAGAAGUAUUUCGGUAUGUAAAGCUCUAUCAGCAGGGAAGAAAGAAAUGACGGUACCUGACUAAGAAGCCCCGGCUAACUACGUGCCAGCAGCCGCGGUAAUACGUAGGGGGCAAGCGUUAUCCGGAUUUACUGGGUGUAAAGGGAGCGUAGACGGCUGGUCAAGUCUGAAGUGAAAGCCCGGGGCUUAACCCCGGAACGGCUUUGGAAACUGAGCAGCUAGAGUGCUGGAGAGGUAAGCGGAAUUCCUAGUGUAGCGGUGAAAUGCGUAGAUAUUAGGAGGAACACCAGUGGCGAAGGCGGUCUGCUGGACAGCAACUGACGCUGAGGCGCGAAAGCGUGGGGAGCAAACAGGAUUAGAUACCCCCGUAGUC
rnacentral:rRNA from 1 species